UUAGCGAAGGGCCACCCGGAAGGUGGAGCUCCCCCGAGGAGCAAUGGAGGAAGCCCCGCCCCUCUCUCCUUACCGGGAAAAGGAAGGGGGAGGCGUAACUAGGGCCGGCAUCCCCUAGCAGCAACAAAUACACUCCCUAAACGUGCCGAGGCCCGGACAUCCUGAAGAGGAACCAGACUGAAGUUGCUAUCACACUAUAAGUCACAUAAGACAUUGGGGAUAAGGAGCCACCGUCUGGAAUGGUGGGAGAUGGGGGCUAGAUUAGCGGCUACCACCCUGCCAUGAGCCCAGGAAGGAAACUUUCGAGGUUGAUCCCCCCAAAGUUCCACAACCCACCUUGGAAGCAGCUCUGGUUUCUAUAUGGGACAGAAAUAAAC